AGAUUCAAGACUUCGGUUUUGAUGAAAGUGGCGCACGGGUGCGUAACGCGUAUGCAACCUACCCUUAACUGGGGGAUAGCCCGGAGAAAUCCGGAUUAAUACCCCAUAGUAUCACCAGAUGGCAUCUGAAGGUGAUUAAAGAUUUAUUGGUUAAGGAUGGGCAUGCGUGACAUUAGAUUGUUGGUGAGGUAACGGCUCACCAAGUCUACGAUGUCUAGGGGUUCUGAGAGGAUGAUCCCCCACACUGGUACUGAGAUACGGACCAGACUCCUACGGGAGGCAGCAGUAGGGAAUAUUGGUCAAUGGACGAGAGUCUGAACCAGCCAUGCCGCGUGUAGGAAGACGGCCUUCUGGGUUGUAAACUACUUUUAUAUGGGAAGAAAAAAGCCUUGCGAGGCAAAUUGACGGUACCAUACGAAUAAGCACCGGCUAACUCCGUGCCAGCAGCCGCGGUAAUACGGAGGGUGCAAGCGUUGUCCGGAUUUAUUGGGUUUAAAGGGUGCGUAGGCGGAUCUUUAAGUCAGUGGUGAAAUCCUGCAGCUUAACUGUAGAACUGCCAUUGAUACUGGAGAUCUUGAGUAUACUAGAAGUAGGCGGAAUUUAUGGUGUAGCGGUGAAAUGCAUAGAUACCAUAAAGAACACCGAUAGCGUAGGCAGCUUACUGGAGUAUAACUGACGCUGAGGCCCGAAAGCAUGGGGAGCGAACAGGAUUAGAUACCCUGGGUAGUCCAUGCCGUAAACGAUGAUUACUCGAUGUUGGC
rnacentral:rRNA from 1 species